CCUACGGGUGGCAGCAGUGGGGAAUAUUGGACAAUGGGGGGAACCCUGAUCCAGCCAUGCCGCGUGUGUGAAGAAGGCCCUCGGGUUGUAAAGCACUUUCAGUGAGGAAGAACACCUGGUGGUUAAUACCCAUCAGGAAAGACAUCACUCACAGAAGAAGCACCGGCUAACUCCGUGCCAGCAGCCGCGGUAAUACGGAGGGUGCGAGCGUUAAUCGGAAUUACUGGGCGUAAAGCGCGCGUAGGUGGCUUGAUAAGCCGGUUGUGAAAGCCCCGGGCUCAACCUGGGAACGGCAUCCGGAACUGUCAAGCUAGAGUGCAGGAGAGGAAGGUAGAAUUCCCGGUGUAGCGGUGAAAUGCGUAGAGAUCGGGAGGAAUACCAGUGGCGAAGGCGGCCUUCUGGACUGACACUGACACUGAGGUGCGAAAGCGUGGGUAGCAAACAGGAUUAGAUACCCCGGUAGUC
rnacentral:rRNA from 1 species